ensembl:lncRNA
GAGUAAUCUAAGCAUACAGUUCACACUGGUUUACAAGAAACUCAGUUUAAAAAUAGGAAAGCAAUUUUUUUAUUAUUUAUUUUAUUUUUAUUUUUUUUAUUUUUUGUACCACACCUGUACAAAUUGCCCAGAGACUGUGGAGUCUCCAUUCAUGGAAAUAUUCAGAAACUGACUAGACAUGACACAUAGCAACUAUGAGAAAGUGGGUUGGACUAGACAAUCUCAGGAGAUGACUUUGUUCCUCAACUACGGACUGAGUUGAGGGGAUGAAAUUGCUCAGAUGCCUGAGGCGACAGACUGAGUUGACUAGAAUCAUCAUGAUUAUUCAAAUGAGAAUUAUCCAAAUGACCCAGAUUUCUUCCCUGCUGCAUCAUGACAAAUUGCUAGACAAUGACACCUCUACUGUCUGCAUUUCUGUGGGCAGACACAUUUGGAUACCCAUACAGGUAUUCCACAUCAUAACAUCGUAUAGUGCACUGGGAGUUAAAGUGUUAAUGCUCCAGUUCCGGGCAUCUGUCCGGAAGAGAAGAACUACAUCCUCUAGGCGGCUUUGUGGUUGGAGAGGAGAUAUAACCUCUGGCAAAGUCACCUGAUGUCCAUCUUCUUCCCUUGGCUCUCAUCCCGACCACAUGCAUCACCUCAGCACUACUGUAAGGCCUACAGCUCUCAGACACUCUUUCUCUCAUUAUAUUUCAUUUAUUAGUUUCAAUUCUAAUUAUAUUGUAUUAUAGUGUGUUAUCUUGCAUUCUGAUACUGUAUUUAGUAAAUCAGCUUGUUUAUCCUCAGAUCGUCGCCGGUGUUUUUAAUUAUUUUGGGGUCCCCGUUUCCCUUUUCCGGAGGCACAGAUUUUGCGAAAUCCCUCUGCCUCACUGGUCACAGAACCAGGCUGAACCAGCCUGUAAACAGUUGACAUUCUAUUUAUCAGAAAUUCAG